rnacentral:rRNA from 1 species
UACAGAGGGUGCAAGCGUUAAUCGGAAUUACUGGGCGUAAAGCGUGCGCAGUCGGUUAUUUAAGUCGGAUGUGAAAUCCCCGGGCUCAACCUGGGAAUUGCAUUCGAUACUGGAUGGCUAGAGUUCGGCAGAGGAACGCGGAAUUCCGAGGUGUAGCGGUGAAAUGCGUAGAUAUCUGGAGGAACACCGGUGGCGGAAGGACG